AUGGCUAUCCUUCAGCAAGCUCAAGGGGAAAGCUUUCCUUCUGAGAUGGCACAGCUUACGGCAGGGAAACCACUACAGACCAACAGUCGACUGCUUUGCCUCGCCCCCGAACUUGACACUCCAAGCAAACUCCUAAGGAUAGGAGGUCGUCUUCACCGCUGUGAAGAGAUUGAGCCCGAGUCGAUGCAUCCUAUUAUCCUUGAUCCCCGGCAUCCAGUCACUACCCUUCUCAUUAAGGAAUAUGACACGAAGCUAUUCCACCCAGGUCCUGAGAGAAUACUGGCGGAGAUGCGUAGGAAAUACUGUAUUCUUCAGGGUAGGGAAGCAAUUCAACGUUAUCAGCGCAAAGAUUGUCCAGUGUGUCAGAAGUUUCACAAAACCCCACAGAUACCCAGGAUGGCAGACCUACUUCCUGCCAGACUACGUCUAUUUAAACCUGCCUUCUAUUCGACUGGCAUUGACUGUUUCGGGCCAUAUUCCAUAAAGAUUGGACGUAAAAGUGAGAAGCGCUGGGGUAUUCUAUUCAAGUGCAUGACUACACAUGCUGUGUAUAUUGAUCUUCUCCCAAGAAUUGACACUGACUCCUUCCUGAUGGCCCUCAGACGAUUUAUAGCCAGACGUGGGAAACCUUUUGAGGUUUUAUGUGAUCAAGGUACUAAUUUUAAAGGAGGGGAAAGGGAGUUGCAUCAGACAUAUGCUGAACUAGUUCCGGAGCUUCAGGAACAACUUGCCAGUCAGCAAAUUAUCUUUCGAUUCAACCCGCCUCAUGCCCCACAUUUCGGUGGGUGUUGGGAAAGGGAAAUUCGUUCCCUGAAACAGGCUCUACAGGUCACUCUGGGAACUCAACCAAUACCAGAGGAAACCCUUCAAACUGUGCUCAUCGAGAUUGAAGGGAUUCUAAAUUCUAAACCCCUGGGUUAUACAUCAUCCAAUGCCUCUGAUCCAGAUCCUAUUACUCCUAAUUCGCUUCUUAUGGGGCGGCCUGAUUCGUCCCUUCCUCAAGUGAUGUACCCCCAAAGUGAACUGUUGAGUCGACGUCGUUGGCGCCAUAGCCAAAUUAUAGCAGAUCACUUUUGGAAGCGGUUUAUCAAGUUCUAUUUGCCUGGUCUUCAGACUCGCAGCGAGAGUCACCCGAUAUCAAGGUGGGAACUACUGUUAUGA
rnacentral:lncRNA from 1 species